rnacentral:rRNA from 1 species
AUUGAACGCUGGCGGCAGGCCUAACACAUGCAAGUCGAACGGUAACAGGAAGAAGCUUGCUUCUUUGCUGACGAGUGGCGGACGGGUGAGUAAUGUCUGGGAAACUGCCUGAUGGAGGGGGAUAACUACUGGAAACGGUAGCUAAUACCGCAUAACGUCGCAAGACCAAAGAGGGGGACCUUCGGGCCUCUUGCCAUCGGAUGUGCCCAGAUGGGAUUAGCUAGUAGGUGGGGUAACGGCUCACCUAGGCGACGAUCCCUAGCUGGUCUGAGAGGAUGACCAGCCACACUGGAACUGAGACACGGUCCAGACCCCUACGGGAGGCAGCAGUGGGGAAUAUUGCACAAUGGGCGCAAGCCUGAUGCUGCCAUGCCGCGUGUAUGAAGAAGGCCUUCGGGUUGUAAAGUACUUUCAGCGGGGAGGAAGGGAGUAAAGUUAAUACCUUUGCUCAUUGACGUUACCCGCAGAAGAAGCACCGGCUAACUCCGUG